ACAGAGCCCGUUGCUAUGGUGACACUCCGGUAAACUCGGCAGCAGUCCCGGUGAUCACCUGGGCCUUCAUCCAGACGGUUGUUGUCAUGGCAGCAGGGGCAGUGUCAGCUCCGCUCAUCAUUCCCAUCAUCCACCUGCAGACUCAUCGAGCCAAGAACCACAUCGACACGAGCACACCUGUGUCCAUCCAGUCAGAUUCUGCAGGUGUUCUGAUCUUUUACACUCUGGAUGGUUCAAAGCCGGGGGCGGGGCAUCAUGGAGCAGCAGGCAGCAGCAGGAAGUACAGCCAGCCCAUCCUGCUGCCUGCAGGCCGGGUGACAGUCCGAGCGGUGGCUGUCACCAGUGACGGCAGAGAGAGCUCCAUAGUGACCAAGGUUUUCUCUGUGGAUCCUCUGGAUGACUUCCUGCAGCCACCGCCUGAAGGAACAUCCUUUCUUGCUGAGACCUCAGAGCCAAAGAUGAUGGGAAAUCACUCCCUUCAGUCAGGCCCUCGUUUUCUGAACGGUCGUCAUGGCUCUGAGAUUGACGCCCAGCUCGCCUCAUCUCAGCGCUCCCAACCUGCGGUUUUUAGGGAGUCAGGUGACCUGAGGCAGCUGAAGAGCACGGAGACGACACGAGUGCAGCGAGACACCGACUUCCUGUGGUGUGCUCGCUGUCUGCAUCGCCGCCCCUCCGACCCGCUCGCUCAGUUCUGCGCUCAGUGUGGAGCGGCGCUUCCUCUGCUGCCCGGUCACAGGCUGCCACCUGCUGAGGGAGGACAGAUGUUGCUGUGUGUGUUCUGUGGGGCUCUAGUCCCCGCCAGCACACACAGCUGUUUGGUGUGUGAAGCUGCCAUCGAUCAACAGCUGCAGCUACGGGCAGGCAUCACUCUGCAGGGUCAUGUGAUGUGUGUCUGCUGUGGAAGUGGGAAUCCGGCCGACGCCUUCAGCUGUCUGACCUGCGAGAGCCGCUUGCAGCAGGUGGGCGGAGCCAGGAGCGCUGUGCCCUCUGACCCAGGAGCGCACACCAGGAUGUUGUCCUGCACCAGAUGUAAACGUUUAAACCGGAGCGACGCGAGAUUCUGCGACUGGUGUGGCUCCAAGCCCGCCCACGCUGCCCGCUGUGUGACGUGUCAGCGUUGUGGAGCAAGUGCACACCCGUACGCUUCCUACUGCACCGCCUGCGGCAUCUUCCUGGAAGCACCGGUCCCACUCGGAUCCUGCGGUGACAUCACACGAUCGGUCAAGGGCGCCGCCAACCGCCAGGUGGGAGUGCAGACUGCCUGUGGUGCCACCUGGCGGGCCACUGCCUCUUUGCACCCUCCGCGAAGUGUGAAAAUCGCCACACCCACUGUGGAUCAGUGCACACAGACUGUAGGACUCUAUUACCCAUCAGGCACUGAGCUGCAGAGGAAGGAGCAGCACAGAGCGCUACAGCUCCUCAGGAAGCAGGUGCAGAGCGACCGCCACCCACCGCUCACCGCCAUCAGCCCGGGACGAGGUUACUGGAGGAAGCAGCUGGAUCACAUAUGCGCUCACCUGAGGAGCUAUGCCCAGAACAACGCCCCCUUCAGGGCGCUGCUGGGAGAGCCUCGUCUGGGCCGGAUGGUCUCUGCGGUGAUUCAGGAGGAUCGCCGUGAGGUCAGUCUGACCGUCAGCUUUGCAGCAGCCGAGCUUCAAGAAAAACAGGUGGGUGCUGACGAUGACAUGGGAUCUCCAGGUGGAGGAUUUGAGCUCGCCAGCUGGACCAAGACUCUGAGCAGCGUUGCAGAGCAAACAGGGUGGACAGGAAGUGACCAGCUCUCGGCUCCACCCUCCAAACCUUACCUGACGCCCAAACCGCUGGUGAAGGACGUUCAGCUGCUGACGGAGCUGGGUCCGGGUCGAGGUGAGGUCGGCGUCAUCCAGCAGCUCCUGGACCAGGGGGCGGACCCUUCCUGCUGCCGGAGCGAUGGCCUACACGCCUUGGCUGUUGCCGUGGUAAAUGGUCACCAUGACGUCCUACCUGUUUUGGUGCAGCGAGGCGCCGACGUCGACCAACAGUCUGGACGGAUGAAGAACACUGCUCUGCAUGAAGCUGCAGCACUGGGGUCUGCAGGUGUGCCGUGUGCUGAGGUCCUGCUCAGCUGUAAGGCCAACGUGAGGCGGAGGAACGCUGCGGGUCAGACGGCGUAUGAUGUGGCGGCGAGCUUGGGCUGCAGCAGCAUGGCGUCUCUGCUGGCGUCUCAGACUGGACUGGGCAAACUGGGAAUCAUGAACUCACGAUGAAGCUGAUUUUUUUCCUGAUUGGUCUGAACGUGAAGUGAUGUGUACAGCUCAGAAAGUGACAUCGCUUCCUGUCAGCGCAGACAUGCAGAUUACAGAUUUUGGACCCUUUCAGUCCGGCUUCCACUGAGACCGGAUCUCUGGGAUCUGUUGGUGGUUCCUCGCCCGGGGGAUCGUACCUGAGCCUCCACAUGUCCCUGUCAGCCUCAGCAGAGGGAGGGCGGAGCCUUCAUCCCCGGGGUUGUGCAUCUCAUCCGGCCUGUGACCUGUGUGAAGCAGGCUGCUCUGGUUCAUGGCCGGUCACUAACAGAUAAGACUGAAUGACUUCUUCACCUCUCGAUAUCUGGAGUUUCUUCUGGUGACACAAACUUGGAUAAACGUGAAGAGUCGAGACGGCUCUCUGAGCCCUCCAGACUGUGACUGCCUCGGCUCAGACAGCCAGCCGGGUGGAGGUUAGCUACUGUUGAUAAAAACUGCUCCAUCCGCUGUGUGUACUACUGAGGUUUCUACUGCCUGAGGUUUCUUCCUGUUAAAGGGGAGUUUUUCCUUCCCACUGUCACCAAAGUGCUGCUCAUAGGGGGUCAUAUGAUUGUUGGGUUUUGUUAUUAUUAACUAGUUACACUGCAUCAACAACAUAAACACAAUGGCAAAUACCCUGCACACAAUCACGUGUCAGAGUUAAAGUGUCCAGAAAUGUUUCCUGCAGCUCCCCCUGCUGGUGGUUCUGGAAAUAAACCAGUUGUCACCUUCACCUCUGACACCAGGCUGUCUGACCCCGAUGAACUGAGCAUGUGCAGGAUAGAGGUGUUCACAUCUUUCUGCAUGGGGGGGGUUUGCCAAACAAAGUGCCUCGUAAUUAAUAUGAAUGUGAUAUGUAUGUAAUCCUCCAGUGAGAAAAAGCCUCUUUAAGUAAAAUGGAUUUAAAGGUAAACUUACAGUAAAGCACGUUAUGAUUAUCUUACAUUAAGAUGCCAAAUUAGAUUUAGAUUAUCUUACGACUGACGUCCAGUGUGCCGGCUCAGACCGAACGAUGAGAGCAUGACUUCGCUUCAGUAAUUCUUUGUUUGUGCACAUGUAUAAAUGCUGGUAAAACCAGGAGCUCAUCGUGGAUUACAGGAGAGGAGGCCACGCCCCAUCCACAUCGUGGAGCAGAAGUGGAGAGAGUCAGCUGAUUCAGAUUCCUGGGCAUCAACAUCAGCGAGGAUCUGAGCUGGUCACACCAUGUUGGUGUCAUCACAAGAGCAGCAAGACAGCGGCUCUUCUUCCUGCGGCGCCUGAGAAGGUUCAGCAUGAACCCCAGAAUACGAACAACCUAUCGAUGCACCAUUAAAAGUAUUCUGACUGGCUGCAUCACCGCCUGGUACAGCAGCUGUAAUGCUCUGCAGGGGGCGGUGAGAUCAGCACUGCGGAUCACCAGGACUGAACUGGCAGCCCUGCAGGAUCUGUGCAGACAGCGCUGCAUGAGGAAGACGCAGCAGAUCCCGGCCACAGACUUUUCACACGUCCAGCAGGAGCAUCCAGACCCGCACUACCAGAUGCAAAGACAGUUUUUACCCACAAGCCAUCAGGCUUUUGAACUGCUGACAGUAUACACACCAUUAAACACUCACUACGAUUACAGGACUGUCACUUCAACUAAUGCCACUUACAUGCUCAUUGCACAAGUUUUGCACAGCCUGUAAAAACCAACUUGUCAUCAAUUCUCUAAAUAUUGAAUCCUUUUCUCUUUUUCAUUGUUUUUUCUGCUAUUUUCUGCACACUCUCCAUAUGCUCAUGUAAAGCUGAGGAGCACGAGCCAAAGAAUUUCAUUAUGGGUAGAUGUGGCUGCUCUGUUUAUCUGUACAUGACAGUAACACUUGAAACUUGGCGCUCUAACUGAAGCGCUGUUAACGUCUGCGUGCACACCGCGUGGCGUGAGAGCGCACCUGGAUUUGAAAUGUGCAGAGUAACAGUUCCUGCCUGUCCUGCUC